UCCUUCUCGCCCCCCCCCAGGUCCAGCAGCCCCGGCGGGCAGCGCGUGCCGCUCCGGCUCCAGCGGCUGUGAGGAGGCGGCGGAAGAUGCGGCAGGAGUCGCUGGCGCUCGCUUAGCAGCCGUCGCGGUCGUCGGGAUCCCAGCCCUCGGUCAGCUCGCCUCCCGCUUCAGCCAUGGGAAAGCAGAACAGCAAACUGCGUCCAGAGAUGCUCCAAGACCUGCGGGAGAACACCCAGUUCUCCGACCUGGAGCUCCAGGAGUGGUACAAGGGCUUCCUGAAGGACUGCCCCACUGGCAUCCUCAACGUGGAGGAGUUCAAGAAAAUCUACGCCAACUUCUUCCCUUAUGGGGACGCCUCCAAGUUCGCCGAGCACGUUUUCCGCACCUUCGACACCAAUGGCGACGGCACCAUCGACUUCCGAGAGUUCAUCAUUGCGCUGAGCGUCACCUCCCGGGGGAAGCUGGAGCAGAAGCUGAUGUGGGCCUUCAGCAUGUACGACCUGGAUGGCAACGGCUACAUCAGCAGGGAAGAGAUGCUGGAGAUUGUCCAGGCUAUCUACAAAAUGGUCUCAUCAGUGAUGAAGAUGCCAGAUGAUGAAUCAACCCCUGAGAAACGGACGGAAAAAAUCUUCCGACAGAUGGAUACCAAUAAUGAUGCAUAUUACAUUUGAUAAAGAAUAACAAAAAUGAGGUGGCCAGAUGCUGUCCUAAAAAAAAGAUCUUGAAGGCAAACUGUCCCUGGAGGAGUUCAUCAAAGGCGCCAAGAGCGACCCCUCCAUCGUGAGGCUGCUGCAGUGCGAUCCCAGCAGUGCCUCCCAGUUCUGAGCACCUCCCCGCUGCCCAGGGGGCUCUGGAUGAGUCCACCUUCCCAAGCAGCACCCAACUUCACCAGGCACCUCCGAGGAAGUCGCCAGCCUCCUCCCGUUCCUGCUUGGACCUCGGAGCAAGGAGCACCUGCCAGUCUACUGAAUUUUUUCUGACUCACAGAUAUUUUUCCUUUACCCCCUCCCUGAACACUGUAGUUUGGUGUGAAUGUGACACAACGUGGGGUGCAGCCGAGGGGGGUGGUGGCGGCGGCAAAGCCUGAUCCUGAGGACCAGCCGGCCUUCUGUCAGCCCUCCGCUGGCCAAAGGGGCUCCUCGCCCGCAGCUGCCUCUUCCACAGUGCAUACUGCUGGCUCGUGGCCCACUCGUCUUCCCACUGCAGGGCUCCGAAUGUGAGAGCAGCUUUUGCUGGCGAAAGCGAGGUCUGUAGCCCGAGGCUCAAGCUGCAAAUGCCAGCAAAGCCAAAAGGUCAUUGAGAUGGACCCCGGUUUACACCUGGACAACUCCCAGUCAGGCAGCAUAUAAAUUUAAUAGAUUAGCAUAAUAAAUUAUUAAAAUGACAUUAGCCCACCCUUAGCGGCUGGCAGAUCAGUUAUAUAAGCCAAGUACAAGUCCUUGCUUUGCCUUGUUGAGGAUGUUCUCCAUGGAGUAGCCCUGGCAUUUCCAACCAGGAUCUGUGUAAUGCCGAGGAUCAUUGGGAUAAGCGCCCUUAGAGCUGUGCACCUGUCAAAAGUGCUUUGGGGCUGCACCUCUUCUGCACCUCUCUGCUCUCCGCUAAAGCAGCCCUCCUUCCUUUCUUCCGAGGAGCAGAGAAGCACCGGGGGUCCAAAGCCGUUCGUUCCUGCCCAGCUUUGAUCUACAUUCAGUGCCAUUGAAUGCAAACUACCUUAGUCCAUAUGCAGCAGCCCAAAGCAGACCCCCUUAAAAGGAGUCAAAGCUACAGACACCCCCCCCCGCCUUCUGCCCUGCCCUCACCAGAUCCCCUUGCUAGGCCUUUGGGUCUGGCUUGCAGCAUAGGGGGAGGAGGGGUGCAGUCGAUAGUCCAGCCCCCCCCCCACCUCCAGGCAACACAGCACCCCAAAACCGACAGCUUUGGGAGCCGAAGGGAGCUGCCUGAGCACAGAGGAGAGAGAGCAGCCUGCAGAAGCCGCUUGGUGUGAGCUGCCAGCCGGAGCUUCGUGUGAAAAAUGUAUGUGUAGAAUUAUUUGUUGAUUGUUUUACCUGCUUUUCAUUAUAAAACGAUCCCAAUGCAGCCAUGAAAGA